AUCGGAGUCUGACUGGGUGCUUCAAUUGAGGUGCGGCGAAAAUCCAGCACAGAUUCAAGGGGCGAGUUGCGUCCGCGUGGUAGGUCCGCCUUCCACGUGGGGCGUGGGUCCUACGCAGCGGCCUGGAAACCCUAGGAUGCCGUGCCAUAAAGGAGCAGGUAGUGCGUCCCUCUUUAUAGGGGCGUGGCCCUGUAUUCACAGCCGGCAAACGCUGCUACUUCCUAUCAGACCGCAUGAACCCGUAAUGGGGGAUGGACUUAGGGGGGCACGCAUAUAGGUUAGGGUGCUUUCCUGGUCCUUCGGGGCUGGGCGGGCGGACCGGACAGUCGAUAACUGUGUCUGGCCCUCCGGGGCCUACCUUUUAUCCAGCAAUGGGCCUGACGAUACUGAAAGCGUGUUGGGGCUGGUAUCCUGGGACCUUCUCGUGGUGGCCCUGUUUAAACAGACCUUACCAGGAUAUUUGACCUGCUCAGUGAACAGGAAUCAGUUAAUCACAAUUUGAAUUCGUCAUUGUGGCAUUAAUUUAAAAAAAAAAAAAAAAAAAUCGGUUUUCUAAUAACAAAAGAUAUAAAUCUCUGAACACUAUACCAUUUUGGUCCAAAUUUGGCAUUUCCAUUUCAUCCUAUUUGAAACCCAUUUGAAAAAUUGCUCCAAAAAGUUGUUUUCAGUAAUUCUGAAUCAUGUUCACUGAGCGGAUCACAUCAAUUCAUAUUUUAUUUCCAAAAAGGAUGGAAGAUUAGGGGCUGAUUGCCUUAAAACACCAAAAGCUUUAAUAAAAAAAACAUUCAAUUCCAUGACAAGAGGAAGUUUUGCGAAAAGAAAUUCAAAUUUGCAGUCAAAAUCCAAUGAGAUCUUAUUAGCGAUGAGAUAACUGUGCUUCAGUUUUAAAAAAUGAAAUAUUAAGAACAUGGGAAAAAAUAACCGGAAAAGAAAUAUUUGAAAAGGAAUUGAAUUAAGAAAGAACAUUAAUUGUUGAUUUGAAAAAACAACAUGCUUGGAUCAUUGUGCCAAUUGGUGCACUCUUGAAUAUGGAAAAGGGUUUGGUGUUGAAAUAAAAAAGGACAAAUAGUGCAAGAGAAGUACCUAGAGUUGAAGAACAUCUAUCAAACAUCACCUCAGAAUUGUUUUUAAUUUAAAAGACGAUUCUGGUUAAAACAUUUGGUAAAAUUGUUGUAUUUAUUUAUCUAUUUCUUGAGGUAAAUUUCAUCCGACAGCACAAAUGAUGGAGGCAGAUGGCAUCAGAGUCUAGAGAAAAUUGUCUCGUCAAAACUGAGCAGAGUGAACAUCUUAGUGAUGUACUGACUACGAAAAGGCAAAAUUAUGGAGACCUCGGAACAAGAUUGUAUGUUUACUGAGGUUUUCCGAAGACGUCUUCUGGCAGAAACAUCUUGGAGGACAUUGGCCAAGAAGGAGGUACAAACUACAUGAGGCUACAACAUGAAGCUUCACUCUAACCUAUGAUGUCUACUUUUGGAACUUUUUCAUUUCUCUCAAAAUGCUUCUCAAUUUGGAAAGGCCUUUGUCUAUAAAACUAGGAAACAGUCAAAAUCAGGCACAACUGAACCCCCCCCCCCCAAUGUUAUCAUCUUUGCCCAAAUAUUCAAAACUGAUUGGUAAUGAGUGAUAUUAAAUGUUUGACCACAAAUCUCGGUAAAAUGUAAGGUUAACCCCUUGUCAUUUUUUGGCCAAUUUUGCGUUGAAAGUGAAAUUGCUGCAAACUCGCAGUGAAGAUGCUCAACCUGAAGCACGUUUCUACACGUCUCCUGGAUAGAUAGGACAAAAUCGAUCAGUAAUGAAAUGUUUCUUCAAAAAUCAUUUACUUUUGUGCAAUACAUUCAAGUUGUUUAUUGAUGAAUACUUAAUGAAUCUCCUCUUGCAUCAACAGGGAUUUCUGUGUCGUUUGUAAGAAAGUAACCCUUUGAUCAAUUUAGUGGAAAAUGUAAGGUUAACCCCUUGCUAUUUAUAAUUAAAUUUUGUUACAAAUCGCCUUGUCUUUAUUUCAACCUGAUAUCAGAGGUGUCCUUGCUCACGUUUUGUAACCUUUGGAAAAGGCACGUUAUAAAUGUUGUUGUUAUUAUUAUUACAUGUACCUGUUGAAGAUAAACAUGUUUUUCUUCUCCAAUAUCUGAUUAAUUCAGAGAUUCAAUAAAACAAAUAUGGUGAAAAAAAAGUAUAUUUUGUACUGAUUUUCAUUUGGCGUAUUCUGAAUGACAAGUUUAUUUCGUCAAAGUUACUUGUAUGACAUUCUUAAUUCGUUUACCAACGGAAGUUGAAAACAAGUUUACUUAUUGGUGUGUCAGAAGUUGAGUUAUGCUACAAAACAUGUACUUGUCCAUGUAAAAUUUAAAUCUAUUUACCUAUUUUUAUCCGACUUUAUUUUAUGAGUGAGAUAUUGAAUAACAGCUGUUGAACUGUUUUUAUUUAAUGUUGAGAAACAAGUACUGGAAUAAAUACAGUAAAACUGAUUUAAAGCCAA
rnacentral:lncRNA from 1 species